CUCAUCUGUAAUGUGAAAAAUAAAAAUGAUUCUACAGGCCUCUCUUUCCCGGUCUCCCCUACGAGAACGCGAGACGCCCCGACUCUAGGGUUCCGUCGGCAGCCGCACUCCAUCCUUCCGAUCCCGGCAACCCUUGCCACCCUCUCCCAUCCCCAGUCACCAUCGUAGUCCCUCGACACCGGUCAAUAUCCUUGACGAAGCCUCGCCUGCCGGCUCCUUGCAGCACGCCGCCCGCCGGUGGACACCCUAAUUGUGCGCGAACCCGCCGGGGAGUCACCUCGUCACCUCCAUGCCUUUCGCAGGAUCUCCGCCACCGCCCCGUGCUGCUGUGCGCAAGGAUACCGCCGCCUCUCCCUGGUACCUCCAUCUCCACUUCCUCGGGGCACUGCUCGCCGGCUCAUGACCUGCUAUGGAGUUGACUUUUGCGCACACAAGCUCCCCUAUUCUGGCUCUGCUGGCUCCCGUGGUUGAGCAGAGCGAGCAGAUCGACAGAGGAAAUACUCACCUGAUUUUCCUGAUUAUGUUGGGCAUGGAGAUUGAUCUGGUAUUUUUGGUUGUCCUUAGAUUCAAGGAUGACAGUGCCCACACCUUUUCCUGGUGUUUGGGCAAAGGCAUGUAUGUCCGAUGUGCGAGCAAAGCGAUGAAACAAUGGUUGUUGUUUACGUAUCUGGCGGCACUCGACGGUUACAGUUUUGGGAGCAGUAGUGUUGCUUGCUAGCAUACUUUUUCUUACAUAUAUGAACUGAUGAUGCUUUAUUUGGUGUUGCUUCCCAUGGCACUACAUUAUGGCUUUGUUGAUGAUGAUUUCUGCUGAUGUGCAUACAGCAGAGGAAUAGACUCGGCAAGUAAAGGAGCUACAUCAAUAUAGUCGGUGGAAUUAACAGGCAAAGUAAAUCCUGAAGCUCCUGGUUGUACCAAGAGUCAGUUGUCAUCGGUGGCCUACCAGCAACACUGGUAAAAGAACAAGGGUGGCCGGAUACCGGAAACAGGGGAUCUUUAAUUGGCCAAGCCACCAUCGCUCCAUCGUCCCCGGAGAUCGUUUGGUGACGUCCAGUGCAUAUCACAUUCUGUAGUGGAGGCGCAGACUCCCCCGCCCCAGCUUUGGCGCCGCCAUCUACCAAUGCGCAGAACAAGCCUGACUGACACGGCCUACAUCUUGAUUGUAACUCUCAUCUUCUAUCUCUUGUUCAUGUGGUCACAUUGAUUUUUCCUUUUGAGAAAGGGUUGAAAAAAAUUCUUUGCUUCAGACAACUGAAUGUCCAGUAAUAUUAUCAACCUUCAGCGAGCAGCGCCUCCGAACUCCAUCACCUCAAACGGCUUAGGAUAGAUUGAUGUUUCAUUCCACUUGCUUUCUGAUCCAAGAUUCAGCUGGUCCCGACCCAAUAUCUAUCUUCACUUUCAGUUAACGAACUGUAGACUAUAAAACUGAGGAAGACCCAAGGCUUUUGAUAGGCAGGUGUUUUACUAAAAAAAUUGAUUCUAAAAGUAUGCCCAGCAAUAUACACGUUGUUUGCUAGCUAAUGGAUCAUUUAUACAAAUCUUGAGAGGGG
rnacentral:rRNA from 1 species